GGAAGGGCCUCAGAGAACGCCCGGCUACUUCAAUGCAGGUUCCCUACAGAUGCAAAUCUCUCCCACAAAAGACAGCUUUGCAGGGCUACUUCUGUUUGCAGACCCUCUGAACAGGCAUCUUAUCAAAGAAGUAUACUCUGGGGUGAAAUAUUUUGGCUUCCUUCAUCGCUAUCACUCCAGAAGCCCCAUCAUGCUUCCUUCCAGUCUUUAGACACAAGAGGAACUACAUUUCAGGUUUCUAGCAGCACAGAUGAGAUUUGUUGUUGUUUGUACUUCAGAUGAAUAGAUAUAUAAGAUACAGAAGGUACAUGUGCAGACUUGUUGCAUGGGAAUAUUGCAUGAUGCUGAGCUUUGGGGUAUGGAUCCUGUCACCUAGCUUGUGAAUAUAGUACCUGGUGCAAAGUUAGAUUGCUCAUUUGAGACCUGUCUGACUUAUCCAUGAAGACACUUAGGGCUAUAAACUUUCCUCUUAAGACUACUUUGGCUGCAUCUCAGAGAUUUGAUUAACCACCAGAGAAAAACACAUUUCCUGUCGUUUCUCCAAUCAGACCCGAAGUAUCGGAACAGAUAUGAACAAUUCUCCUUUUUUUUUUUUCCCAGACAGCAAUUUAGAAUAAUUAGGGUAAUUUAUACAUAAGGCUCUGGCCCAGACCUUAUAUAAUAGAUCUUGGAAAUGACCAUUAUCUUAAAGGUGACAUUUAAAUUAAAAACAGUGGCAGUGAGCAUAAAGUUUGAAAGCACAGGCUGUGCAGUCAUGCAUAGUGGCUCUGUUAGGAAUUUGUCUCUCCCACUACAUGUUUUGUAGCUUUAGAAAAGUUAUUAAUGUCCCUAAGCCUCCAUUUGCAAAACUGGAAUGAAUAUGAAAAGAUUGUUGAGAGAAAUACAAAUUUAAUCCAUAUAAAACCCUUUGUAUGAUAUCUGAAAUAGAAUAAGAAGAUAAAUAUUUCUUAUUAUUAAGCUGCCUUUGAAAUAAUUGCCUCGAAUGACACUGAGCCUGUGAUCUGAAUUUAGGUUUGCUGUAUACAUGUCUUAGAGGCAACUCUAAACUGAAAAAUAAAAAUGAGUAAAUCUGCAACAUCAAAUCUUUGAGCAUUUCUAUUGAUUUCAGUUUGGUAUGCUUAUGAAACUUUAGCUUACAAGCCACUUCCAGUGAAUGCUACUCUCAACUAAUGAUGUCAUCAUCGCAUUUCUUUAUCCUCUCACACCUGCAAGUUUUGCUUCCAAGCUAAACACCCACACUAUCUGCUGC
rnacentral:lncRNA from 1 species